rnacentral:lncRNA from 1 species
CAUUCCAGGGUCAACAAAACAGUGAAACUCAGUGGCAAGGCUGCCAGAAAUAGCAUCACCUGUUGGUGGAAGAUUUUGAUGUCAGUGAUGCCCAAUGUCUCGGGUUCUUUACUUUUACAUAAUUGACAGAUGGCUGAGUUACAACAUUCUACAACGUCUUGAGGCACCUCUGAGAUACAGAUGUGUAUUCAUAAUACAUCUUCAUCUAGAAGAGUAACUGACUGUAGACUGCAGUCGGUAACCAGUGUCCCGAGAUAAGAAGCAGAGAGCUAAAGGUCCUAUCCCAGCAUGGGCUCCGGGAUGUCCAGUUGCGGGCUCUAUCUACGUGUUCUGUGCCAAGCGUGCCAUGGGAAUAGUUGGCCUUUGUCAUGGGCUAAAUUAUAUACUUUUACACCUGGUAGCAUUUGCACUUGUUGUUAGUUCUGGAAACAAAGAAAGAGGGAAAUAUAGGGUGGUCUAGCUGGUAACGGGGCAAAUUGGGCCCUGAGCUCCCAUAAGCAAACUCAAGUAAAUAUCUGAAGUAUCGCCUUUUCUUUUUGAACCAAAUGCAAUUAGAUAGCUCCCAAAUGGGUGAGAGGUGUUUUCUCUACAUUUUGCUCUAUAACCAGAGCAAGCCAUUGCCUCUAAAUUUACAGUAUGGAAUAGAAAUAGGGCACAAGGGGAACUCAAAUGACAUGGGUUUGGUGAAAAUCUGGAACUCGGCUUGGGUUGGGGAAGGCACUCAAAUCUCAUCUUGUUGGUUGCAGCUUGGUCCAAGACCUUGCACGAAUAGGCUGAGGCUUCAGGCAAUAGGAGCACUGGGGACUGAGUCGUGUCCUCCCAUAUCCGCACAUGAAGUUGACAAGAGACUCUCCAUGGCAUCAAGCUGUAUGUUUCUGUGAGUAAUAUGUUGAUAUCAGAUUCUACCAGAAAUGUUGCAGAAGAUCAAAACAGAUCUGACUUUGUUUUGUGAACCUAUCAGUAGCUGUUGACUUAGACCAGUUUAUCCUGACUUGCAAAGUCUGCUUUAGAAACAAUGACAGGUAAUGUACUGAAUGGCAGGGGAAUGUUCAUUAAAUGUUUAUCUCUCGUGAAUUUUCCUGUCAUUGCUCUUGGGAAUAACACUGGGGAUAGGGAGUUGGGAAACUAGCAUUGUCAUUUACUUAUGUGCCUUUGGUGAAGUCAGUCACGGUAAGCAUCAGUUUAUUCACUUGUAAAAUAGAGAUGAAUGCAGUGUUUCAAGCCUGCCUUACAGGUGUUUGUGAGAAUAAAAUUAAAUAACGAACGUCUUUGUGGUGCUUU